rnacentral:rRNA from 1 species
CAAUAGCGUAUAUUAAAGUUGUUGCGGUAAAAAAGCUCGUAGUUGGAUUUCUGUUGAGAGCGACCGGUCCAUACCAUGUAUGCGUAUCUGGCUUGCUCUCGACAUCCUCUCGAUAGACGUUACUGCGCUUGAUUGCGUGGUGCGGAUCUCGGGACUUUUACUUUGAGGAAAUUAGAGUGUUCACGGCAGGCUUUCGCCAGAAUACAUUAGCAUGGAAUAAUACUAUAGGAUCUUGGUUCUAUUUUGUUGGUUUCUAGAAUUGAGAUAAUGAUUAAUAGGGACAAUUGGGGGCAUUCGUAUCAACACGUCAGAGGUGGAAUUCUUGGAUUGUGUUGCGACGAACUACUGCGAAAGCAUUUGCCAAGGAUGUUUUCAUUGA